rnacentral:lncRNA from 1 species
CGUACAAACCUCGUAAUGUAUUUGUAGCACCAAUUUCAGCACAGGUUAAAAUUGUGCUCCGUACAAACAACUGCGUAUAGGUUAUCUAGUCUGCAACCCGAUAAAUAUAACUGGGCUUUGCUUUCUCACCCGUUACUGUCAUACCGGACCUUGUUACUACACGUGCAACGUUAAUUUGUUCGUCCCGCUGUGCGUUAUUACAAGCACAACAGGCCUGAGGACAACUUUUUUUUUCUCUCCGAUGCAAAUGCACAACAUUAAAGAUUAUACCCAAAAGGUGGAAAACUAAAUCGCGCAAUCGAGUACGUACGCCUUGGAUGGUCAAGGACGAAUUUUGAUGUCAACACGGACUACAUCCGCAGAAAAAUUAGAUCGAUCCUACUAUAGCUAGGUACUGCCGGUACUAUACUUAUUACUCCAGGUUAAAAAUAAUGCUUCUGCAAGCCAAUAAAGCAGUGCAUCAAAAUUGCAUGCAGAUAGGAUAUCUCUUUGCUACUUCUGCCGUGUUAGUACGUGCAUGGAUCCAGUAGUACCGAAUGCCCAUCUUCCAACUUUUCGUAAUUAAAAGCAACGAGAAAGAAAGACAGAACUAGAGAAAUAAAAAAAAAUUGCAAGUGGAGCGCCUGCCCAGAUCCGGACACGCACGAGAGAGAGAGAGAGAGAGAGAGAGAGAUUGUGGAGUGAGGGAUGAAUGUGACGGGGGUAAACUGUUGGGUACGCCAUAAUUGGGUUGGGGCCAUCAUGUGCGUGCUACGCUGCUGCUAGUACUACUACUAGUAGUGCACUGUACGUACCGUCAAACGUGUGUACGGCGGGUAGCUAGGACGCGCCUUUCUCCACCUAGUGGGUCUUGUUUUGCUACAACCACCCCACGUACAUGUCCACGCAAAACAAUCUAGGCGUAUAUACAUGCAUGUCUCGAUCUGUCUAUUUAAAGUGCAUAAGAAACUAUGUGUAUUCUUUUGUGUCAUGCUCUCUCCAUUUAUAAAAUUAGCCGCAAACAAGUCAAACUUUUUGAACUUUUACCGAGUUUAUACAAAAAAAUUACCAACAAUACGACUCCAAAUUAGUUUAACUAAAUCUACCAUGAUAUAUAUAUUUCAUAAGAUAUUUAUUUGAUAUUCUAGAUAUUGAUGCUUUCUUUAGUAAACUUAGUCAAAUUUAAAAAAAAAUUGACUUAGAACAAAGCUACUGAUUUACUCUUAUAUUUAGAAAGGGUAUGGACUAGGCUAGUCUUGUUUGGACCCGAUUUCAUGUGCCACAUGCAUGUGUAGGCGUAGAGGACGGAGCUAGCAGGGGGCAUCCAAAACCCAUGGUUCUCUUGUAUCACGAGGCUGCUCAAAAUAUUGUUAGCCGAGUGAGCACCAAGAUCUCUCUCUAGCUUUCACUCUCCAUCUAUUUCUCUCUCUCUCUUGCUCUCAACGCAUAAAGAAUGGACAAGUGAAUUUCACACCUGCUUCAAAAGGCCUGGCUAGCUCCACGUGUCCCCACAACCACACCUGCUUGCUCCCAAAAAGGAUAAGUUAUAGGGUGCAUUAGAUGGGGACAAGCCAUCCAUCAUGCUCUUUUGUACGUGUCGUAUUUAAACAGAGUUUUUUUUUUUGAGGAAACAGAGGGAGUAUUUUUGUUAUGCUAUAACUGUGCGAGUGGCAAGAAGAGGGAGCAGAAUGAUCCUGCUAUUUUGGUCACCGCGGAAAUUUGGCGAAUCUAUACAAAAAUAGAAUCCAUGAUAAUGAUGAUUUUCAGUUUUCUUUGCAAGAGGAAGAAGAAGAAGAUUUCCAGUUUUUUUUUUUGACGAUUCCAUGCUGACAAUCACAUCACUUGGACGUUUUCCUUGCGUCUGAACAUUAUAUAUAAAAAGUUUAAGUUUGCUGGUCGUACCGAUGCUAACGCGUGCUGAUUUGGACAGGCACCGUGGGAGCUAAUUUUUGGUACGGUAUAAGUCACCAUCUUGAUGUGAAACCUGAUGCUAGAUUUCCAGUUUGGCUAUUUGUAUUAAUCAACGUGGUUUGUUUGUCGUUUAGGCGUACCAGUCCGGGACCUGACUUUGUAAUUAGGACAAUAGAGAAAGGCUAAUCAUGCUCAACAAAGCUGGCUUGAUCGCUAGCUAGAUACUUUUUGCUAGGCUAGCCAAGAGAUAAAACUAUAGAGCAUCAAGAUCCUUUCAUUAGGUGUGCUCGAUCGAACUUUCCCUGGGGAAAAAGGAGUCAUCGAUCGCCGAUGAAUUUUACAGAAUUCUCACCAAUUAUUGGUAAGAGAUGGUGUCGCCAGCAAAUUUCCCUCAAUUAUUGGCACCUAGGACUGCGGGACCAAUGUUUUGUGUCAAGGGAAAUACAUAUACUCUUGCAAAAGAAAAGGGAAAUACAUAUACGGAGUAUGGGGCACAGAAACUUCCACCAAAAUGCUCAAGCAUUGUCACUGGUGUACUACCCAGCCAUCUCCAUCCCCCAUUCUGAAAUCUGAAUUCAAUAUUGACCCACGAAAUUCUAUCUUAUCAUUUUCCUUCGUUAGAUAAAAUCUGACAAAUUUCAUUUCUGAGGAUCUUGUCAAGGUCAGUCAAAAUAGAGUACGUGUACGGACAACUGAAAUCUUUGCCCAGAUCCUGGCUAGGCGAGAAGGACCAUACUAAGAUCUCCUGUCAGUAGUUAUCCGACGGUAAUUAUCGGUAGUGGUACGUGUUGUUGCAGAUAGGCCAAACAGAAGGCACAUGGUCGGCAGUAUCGUCACUGUGACGACCCCACUGGCAGUACAAAAACUGAGGAGUCCUUUUCCACCAAAAUUUUUUUCUCUUUCCGAGGAGAACACCAAAAUGACAGGGAAGGAAAGGAAGAGGACGGAGGGGACGUGAGUGGAGCUGCUGCUGAUGAUGUGUGCUGCUGUUUGGCUCUGAGCAUUUCUUUUUUUAUUCUGGAAAUUAUUUUUUUUCUUAGAGAGAGAGGUGUGGCCUGGUCUGUCCGUCAGUGUCAAGGAAAGUGAGGUAGUUUGUGGUUGGAGGAACUAUGAUGGCAGGGAGCGCUCUCCCCUGCCCUGCAUUGAAACCUCCCAGGCCGUACUAUGUGGAAAUGGAAAGUGUACACACUCAAGGUCUACCUCGGACUGUUUUUAUUAGUUCUCCAUUCAGCCUACUACUAAGCCGUAUAACUUUUGACUAAUAAAUUGUUAAAGUUUGACUAAAUUUAUAGUAAAAAUAUAUCUCAUAUACGAAAUCAAUAACUACAAAAGUUUAUUCACGAUAGAUAUAGUGAUUAUGAUUUGGAAACGCAAAUGUUAAUAGUUGUGCUACACGCUGUAUCGAACUUUCGAACGUCCGACAGUCAACAAAAAUUAUACUUGAUAUAUUAUGUAUGACUUAUAUUCUGUAACAGAGAGAGCAUGCGUGUGAGUUAUUAUAUAUGGCAACUUCUUGGUGGUGCGGUUAGAGCGUUACUUGAUACUCCCUCCAUUUCACAAAGAUCGGCGUAUUUUGUUUCGUUAAGACAAGGCUUUGACCAAUGACAACUCUAUUAAUAUGUGUUUUUACGUACAUGAAAUUUAUAUCAAUAUAUUCAUCUUUAAAAUUCUUUCUAAUAAUCAUGAUUUUGUAUGAUAUAGGUUACAUAUUAAUAGUGUAAUUCUUGAUCAAAGCAUUUUCUUCACGAAACAAAAUACGUCAAUCUGUAUGAAAUGGAGGGAGCAUAAAGUAACGACUAAAUUUCCUAAAUCCCGACACUUAUAAUGGAUCCGACGAAGUAUUGACUUGUCUAGAUUCCUCCGUCCAGAAAUAAGUGACUCAACUUUAUCUAAAUUCGCACGUAUCUAUACGCUAAAACACGCCUAGAAAAGUAAAAUCUAGACAAAUCCGAGUCAUUUAUUUUCGUACGGCGGGAGUACUGAACGUUGCGGCAACAAGGCAACAGCCCGCGUGUGGCCGUAGCGGGGACGCCGAUUGGCACGCCGCGUACGGCCGGCGGGGGAGCGAGCGAGAGCCGAAUCGAAUCACACAUCCAGCAGACACACUCGUGACAGAAAGAGAAGCCCCGCCCCCCGUCUCCCCCCUUCCCCUCUCUCUCCAUCGGUCGCUGUCGUCCACUGCUCUCUCCCGCAAGGGUUGACGAAACUGCCCCCCGCCCCAACGACCACCACGCCUCGCAGGGGCAAAACCGUCCGCUCCGAUCCUCCUCCCCUCCGGAGAACUUCCUUUGCGUGUGCUUGGGUGGGGACCCCACACACGCGCAUCUGCAUCUCGGCCUGUGCGCACACACACGUCUGCGUCCGUUUCUCCAUCCGUCUCGGCGGCUUAUCGCGAGAUAUACAUGUGCGCGCACGCACGCGCGGUACGAUAUGUACUCCGGUGCGUGGGAAGGCGUGAAAGGAGAGACGAGAUGAGACGAGACGUGGGGGUGGGGAGGGAGUCUUUUUAAAGCCUGGAGCUGUACGCUUCUUUCCUGUGUCGCAGAGAGAGCAGGCGGGGGGUGGGAAGGGGUGUGUGUUUCCUGCCGUCCCUUCUCGACACGUCCCUCUUUCUCUACCUCCUCUCCCCGUGUGCCCUAGUACGUGUAUCUACUCUCCGUGUUUGCGUACAGUUGCGUACCUGUCUAUACAUCCUUUUCUCUCUACAAAUAAUAAUACUAGCUUGGGGACGAAUUGGAAGGCUCGGGGAACGAAAAGUCACACUGCCCUGCGUUACAACGUAGAGCGAAAUGAUUCGACAACGUCGACACCUGUCAUCUCGAGCUUACCGAACAUUUUGCAUGUCCAGCCCUGCAGACAUUAAAUGACUCGAGCCUGUCUAGAUGUCCAUUUAAUAUGAGACGGAGAAAGUAAUUCCUACCGAAUUCAACAUUUGUAUUGAUUACGAAGGGAGUACUAACUUGAUGAUUUAAACACUUAUUUAGUUCGCCAAUGUUAAAUGACUCUUAGUGAGGUUAGUUUUAUAGAGACUAUAGAUAAAUACAAACAUUACAUAACAAGCCAAUGUAAGAUGAGAGAGAAUGAAUAACCUCACUCUAACGUACUAGAAGUGCAAAAGGAUGACCUUGAGAGCAACUUCUGGCCCUACCUUAGUUCAACCAUGCAAAUGAACAAAAAUUUGUAAAAUCACAUUGCUUUAUAUAAAACUAGUUCAUUUUUUUCAACUAAAAAGGGUUGGAAGGUACUCUUAGGGUCGUCUUUUUGCACCUCUAGUUACAACUACAAGGGCACAGACCCGCCCAAAAAAGCAUCGGGUGUAUUACAAAACAUCGAACACCCGAGGUCUGUUACCCAUUACAUUCUUUUUCUAAGAUGUUUAAACUUUAUACUAAGUCAAACAUUUAAAAUUUGGUCAAGUUCAUAGAAAAAACACUAACAUCUACAACUCAAAAUUGGUAUUAUUAAAUCUGUCACGAUAUAUACAUAUAUAAAUUGAUAGAAGAUAUACUCCCUCCGACCGGUAUUACUUGUCUCAAAUUUUCCAAAUACGGAUGUAUCUAUGUGUAAAAAGCGUCUAGAUACAUGUAAUAUUUCGACAAGUAAUUCCGGCCGGAGGGAGUAGUAGAUUCCUAUAAAAUUUAGUCAAACAUUAAACUUGGUCGACAAUUUGACUUGGAACACAAAGCCACGAUAUGUUAUAAAAAGAUCGGAGGGAGUUGUACAAUGCUAGGUGCUUAUUAAAAAUAAAAUACUCUGUUCCUGCCUGUUUCUGUAAGAUACGAGCUUAAUUAGGACAUCUUCAACAGGGCACAGUUACAUAGCUUGCAUGUCAUCACUUCUUUUUCUAUUUUAAUCUCAUCUAUCCUUUAUUAUAUAGGGAUAUUUUAUUUUGUACUUUUCUCUUUCCUAGCAGGCCCACUGUCAUCCCCUUUUCUAGUCUUGGUACCCGUGUAGUAGUGGUAUCUUGCAGAGAAAACCAUCUCUUCAACUUUGGUUCAACCUCAGCCCAAGAAGUAGGAAAAAGAAUAUAGGUAGUCCCUCCAUUCUAUAAUUCUUGUCGAAAUCUUACAUGUAUCUAGACACCUUUAGAAAUAGAUACAUUCAUUGUUAAACAAAUUUGAGACAAGAAUUAUAGAACGGAUGGAGUACUUGCUUAGUAGUACCCUGUUGGAGAUACCCUUGGUACGGAGUAAAAAAAAUAAGCAUCAAUGUUUAAGAAUAAAUCGAUUUAAUCUUAUAAACACCAUUACGCAUGAAUGCUCAGAGGAAAAUAAAACACAUGCUAACGUACUCGUUCAUCAUGAGACGGAGAGUACCCGUCAAGAAAUGAGGAAAUUGUACAUUCCACUCAUCUUUGUGAAGGUUGCUGCGGAAAACACCUACUCGACAAUUUUUUUGUGGAAAACACCCACUCGACGUCUAAUCCGUUGCACACAAGUUCUAAUCCGUGUUUGAUCUCGUUAACAAGCAUUCUGACCGAUGGGGCCCACAUGUCAGAGACACCCUGGCCUAAGGGGGCUGCCACGGUGGCUCAUCCCCUUCCUUGAGGCUCUUCAAGGGAGUGCGCUGCGGCGGAGGCGGCGCCCAGGCCCGCAGGGCGCGACAGCCCAGACACCGCCCGCGCGCUCGGCUUCUUCGGCCGCUCCAUUAUCUAGCUGCCCAGCUCCGACCUGCUCUGCAGGACCUUGCACGGGCUCGCUGCGGCGCACGGCGUGCGUGAGGCGUGAUCAACCUCAUGUCGAGUGCGUUCUGCUCCGCCGACGUGGUCGCCGACGCCAACCUGUCUUCCACGCUGGAGCUGCGGGAGCUCAUGGAGGACCUCACUGUGACGGUCGCCAAACCCAACGUCUCCGGCCUCGUCCCUUUCCUACAGUGAGGUAGGUGCAGACGGCGGCGGCAACGAAGGAUGGGAUCCAUCUGUCUCACGUGGCAAGCCGGAGCGGCCAGGGUGGCUAUGACAUGUGGGUCCCACCGAUCAGAAAGCUUGUUAAGGAGUCCAAACACGAGUUAAGACUUGUGUGCAACGGAUUAGUCGUCGAGUGGGUGUUUCAUGCAACACCCUCCCCGUGACGGGGGUGGAAGGUACAAUUUCCUCGUCAAAAAAUUUACGUCGACGCUCCCUGGAAAAGGUCCUAAGCGGCGUUUGUACAUGGGCGGUACACACUACCACGCAUAGGAUCCUCGCCACGAAAGGACUGCCCCGUCCGUACUAUACUGGAGUACUAUAAGCCAGAACCACACACAUAACAAGAAACCAAGAAAACCAAAAAAAAAAAAACGGGGCGAAAAUGAAAACCCUAGAUAAAUGGAGGCAGACCCUGACAACCACUUUCGUUUUCUUUAUCGGGAGCCUUUCCUUUUCUUCUCUUCUCCAUACGAGAAGAACAAUCAAGCGCGAUUCAUGACAACACGCACCACAGAGGUCCGAGAUUCUCUCCUGCGAGAUAUCUUCUCGCGACACGACACGGUACGACAAGUAGGCGACAAGGCACGAUACUAGGUAAAAUGGGCGCUUUUAUUUUUUAACGGAUGCGAUGGCUUUAAGUUGUUCACAGGUCACCAGCACACGAGACCGGUCAGGCAGGCAGGACGGCUCAGGAGGUGUCAGUGCUAACGUUAGCACCAGUGUCACGUUCACUCGAUCUCUCUCCUUGCUUUUUUAACGUUUUAUUUUUCGUAUUCUUUGGAUCAGUAAUUACUGAGUACGGAGUACGUGAUUUAUUUAUUUUCUGGGUGGAGCCGCGCCUCGUGACAAACACGCUAGACUGGUCAAGGCCAACGCUAAAUCCACAGGCAUUGUACUCGUAGCACUCCCAGAAAAAUAAAAGAGGCUUCAUCGUAUCUUUUUUUUUAGAAAUGGGUACGAAUACAUAGCGGCAGAUUACUCCGCCUACAAAAAUGAAAAAAGUAAUCUUCUUGUUAGUAUUAUACAGAGGUCCAGAUAUAGAAAUGGCAUCCUGUCCCGUGGUAAACUUUUCUGAAUUUCAGACACGGUGUCAAAUCAAUAUGCUCCCCAGUAGUAAAUUAUCUGUCCCAGCCUUUUGACCUAACUUCAUUUUGGCGCAAACUGAAUAAGCUAGGGUUAGAGUGUUGGACAACAACAUCAAGAGAAUCUAAAAGGGGGACCGCUAGCUCUUUGUUGAAAAGAAUAAUGUUUCUUAAGACAAAUUAAAUGUAUACUCGUAAUAUUGUGGAUCUACCCAAGGUUUUUUUUUCUUUUCUUCCUUUUUUCUUAGAUCAUGGGUGUCCCUACGUUUCCCGCCUAUCAUCAUGGAAAGAAGAAUGUCUUUGCGAGAAUUGGCCAGGAGUUGCUGUCCGAACCAAAGCAGAAUUAGCACAAUGUGUACAGAUGGCACUGUCAGGACCAUCAAAAAGGCUAAAUUAAACAUUUAAGCAGCUGCAAGGAAAAUGAUUAAGAUGGUUACACUUCUCGAUCAAAUGGUGGGCCACUGAAAUUGACCUCGUCCCCUGGUCCAGAAUAGCAUGUUUAUUCUCAAUUAUUGAGUCCUUUCUGUGGGUUUUUUCAAAGGACAUGGGUAAGUGCACCCAAAGCGUGUUCAAAAUUGUUGGAUUAUUUAAUCAAUUCAGUACUUCAACUUCAAGCUACGAUUUCAAUGUGAUGCUACUCCACUGGGUUAUGCUUGAGUCAAAUUAAUUUGUGGACAAGACAAAGGAUGGGCCUGGCUCGAGUCAAAGGUAUUUAUCUGAAUACCAAUAUUUUGGCCAAAUAACUAGAUACUACGUAUAUGUAGCACAUGUGUGUAUAAGGGCCUUUUUGAUUCACAGGAUUUCAAAAUCGCAGAAAUAGGAAAAACAUAGGAUUUGAAUGUCAUGUCAUGUUGAAUCUUAUGGAAAUUCAAAAUACAGGAAGUUGUUUGAUUGAACCACAAGGAAAAAUGUAGAAUUUGCUUAAAGGAUUAUGUGCUACUCAUUUUUGUCAUAGAGACAAAGGAAAUUUUCCAUGAGGUUGAAAUUUUCCUUUGGAAUUGCAUGCAAACUAGUCCACAGGAAUUAUUCCUGUGGUUUCAAAUCAUGUAAAUCAAACGAGCUAUAAAGGAAAUAUUCCAUAGGAAUAGAACCCUUCAAAUUUUCUAUGAAAUUUCUUUGAAUCAAAGGAGCCCUAGAUGGAAAAGUAAGUCAAAAUGAUAAGAUGUUUAAGCUACUUAUCCUCAAAACAACUCCCUCCUCCCUUGGCCUAAUGGCCCAAUUCUCAACUGAAUCAAGUUUAUAUCUCCAAAAACAUGGUUUUCAAGUGUAAUUUUUUUGACAUCUUGAAACUUUGAACACCAACUCUAAAAAUCGUAGGCCCGUCCUUGGACCCAAGCUGACGUAUCCUGUUUGCUUUUUUCGAAAAGGGAAAGCGAUCCCCGCCUUCCCGCCCUCUGCAUCAAUUGAUUCAUUCUGUUUGUUGUUUCUAUGUGUACGUCAGUGCACGUUACGGUAGGAUUCAUUCAAGAGGAUUAUCUUGGUUUCGUUCAUAUUCUUUUCUGAUAACUUCAGGUGCACAGAUUUAUCUGGAAAAACAUGAAAGCGAUGGGUAAUAUAGUUACAGAACUUGGAAGUAAGAAAGAACGAGCUGGCCUCAAUUAUGGUGUUCCGCAGGCCGGUAAUUGCUUUCCAGAAUCCAUUUGGGAAUUUCAAGCAGAAGAAUACUUUUUGCAGUAACACAUGACACGUCAGUCUCAUCGUCAGAGCACGCAGCCAAAGAGAAAACUGUAUAGCUAAGCUUCAGGCGUUUCUUUUAUAAGAACAUGCAGAGCUUGCACGCCACUGGUCAUUAAAAAUACAUGCGUUUCUGAGUUCAGAAAACAAAUCCGAUAAAAGAUUGCUGGAACAAAUCAGUAUUUCCUGCAUUAGCUCUCUUUGUUACUUCUUCCGUCACAUAUUUAAUGACUCAAUUUGUCUAAAUAUGAUAUAUCUAUACCGAAAAAGCAUCUAUGCAUGUAAGGGCAUCCACAGUAUUUAGAGAUAUAAUACCUCUAAGCUGGGACCCACCUCUUAUCUCUAACCUUAUCACCAAAUGCUGCAGUCUUUAGAAACAAUUUCAUCUCUAUCAGUACAAAGUACUAUGAUGCUCUCACAUAAUCUUUUUUCUUACUUAUUCUAUUGGACUUCUAUAGCAUAGAGGCUGCCUCCAAAGAAAGAGGCAUUUCUCAUCUCAGAUUCUUAGAGGUAGGAGAUUGGAAUGCUUAGAGGUUGCCUCUAAUGGUUAGAUGCAUCUAUAGAGGUAGAAAAGCUAAAGACCGUGGAUGCUCUAAUAUUUCGUUCACUUAAUAUGGGACGGAAGGAGUAUAAUUUCGAAGAGGACAUGGCGAAUAAUUUCUUCGUCAUAUUUUACGGAAUAUGUAUAUCCUUAUGCGCCUAUACACUCGGGGGAACUUUUAGAAACGAGAAAUUACAUUUUGCUUAGUGGAAGAUUUUGCAGGAGCUCGGUAGCCAAACAAGAUUUUGGACACGUAACAUAUCCAUCGAGGGGUCAUGCCAUGCACGUUGUUGGAGGGGGCAUUUUCAGCUGCAGAAGAGUAUUUUUGCAGUAACACAAAAAUUCUUCAACGUACGCUGCGGUUGCCGACCAAAGUACCAAACUCGGAGCCAAAUUCUUCAACGCUACGGCCACCGUCCAAAGCUCGGAUCGAGAUUGACAACACCCAUCGUCGAUCUGAUAUAUCGGAAUCGUCGUGUCUAACAGACCGGAUUGAAGCACCUGGUAGGAAAAAGAUCCAAGGAAUGUAGCCGUGCAAAAAUACAGUCAUGCUUGGUAUUCUACAGUUUUUAACAAGUAAACUGAACUCUUGAUAGACGGCUCUAUACAAAUCUGGAAGGAAAAAAAAUUCAACCAUACAGCUCAAAAGCAGCGAAGAUGUUUUUUUUUGUUAGUCUUGACACUCUAACCCAGAAGUGUACGGUAAAUCACUCCGGUGAUGAUAUUUCAGACCGUCUUUGAAAGGAUUUUGGUUGUAGGCUGGUAAUUGAUCACAACUCUAGCUAGCUAUUUAGGGCCUCUUUGGAGUGAAUACUGUCGGAGAUCACCUUAACUAUAUUUGUCAGCGCAUUUUUCCUGAAUUCAAAAUUGAGCAGACAAUGUAAUGAAAAUCGGUUCAUGUUGGUCAUAAAACCUUAUACGCGACUUCCGUCCGGUGUAGAACAAUCGUUCCAGUUAUUCGGGCAACAAAACCUGGAUGAGGCCAGAAUUUGUCACUUUGUUUAUGUUCUCACAGUUACCACAGAUCAUCAAUCCUCAAAGCAACGGCAUUCCAAAACAGAAGCAAUAUCCUUACAAGAAAAACACAAGCAAUACACCAGAGGGAUUCAUUCCUAAAAUAAAACACACAAACACCAACCAAAAAGUAAGGAGUACUGCUCGGCAUCUUCAUCUUUUUCAUUUUUUACUCGUAGAAGUACCUACGUACUUCCUCUCUCCCAUAAUAUGAGGCACGUACGCAUCUCUAGAUUCUCAAUUUGAUUAAUUAAAUAUGUAUGUUUCUUAACAAAUAGUACAUCAUUAGAUUCGUUGUCGAAAAAACUUUCUAAUGAUAUAACUUUUUAAUUAUUUAAUUUAUAUUUAGUUAGCAAAAUUAACGAUUUAGGGAUGCGUACUUGUGCCUCGAUAUUAUGAGACGGAGAGAGUACUGUACUGCCGUUUUACUUUUCCUUCUCUCUUCACAGGCGAGUGAAUCAGUAAUACUAGAGUGACAGAGAGUAUUCAAUAUAGGCAUUCCAAUUAGGUCAGGGCACAUGCGCCUGCUGCAUCUCGCAGAAAAUGGAAGCACCUGCUCUUGCGCUCCCCACCAGUAGUACCUCUAUUUUGGAUUGCUGCCCGGUUCCUAUAUAUACACCAUGUUUCAGUUUUAGAAUACUCAUCCCAAUGUUGAAAUACGGUCCUGUGUUUGCCUUUCAAAUUUCCCCCCUUCCAUUUUGUGUUUUGAUUUCAGGAAGACUCAGCUGUUAUUUUCUCUCCUGCAAAAGCAUAGGUAUGCUAUUUUCCUCAUUGUUAAUAGGCUGUUUAAUUGUCAGCUCUCUUCCUUCAUUUUUCAGCCUUACACUGUCUAUUAGUAAUGAUUUCCUUUUGCUCUUAUUUACUUUGUUAUCUUGCUGAGAUUGAAAUUUAUGCGUAACUAAUGAGAUAAACUAUAUGUUCUCUCUAUAGUUUUUGCCCAAGUAACUUUGCUGUUCUUGAUCCUCGGUGACAUUUCCAACCUUUGGAGCUUUCUUAGGCCAUCUAUGUGUCUGGUCCAAACACACUCCAAAGAGGAUGCAAGAACCAAGGAGGAGUGUAUCACCACGAGCUAAACAGUUGUACAAAGGCAGGUGCUCUGCCAAAUCCAUAGGAAAAAAAAGAGGGUCAGCAUCAUCUUCUGGUGAGCCUAGCAUUUCCCAAUCCCCAGUGCUCUGCCUGCCUUCCAAAUGAGUACAAACACAAACUGAGAUUUCUUUUCUCUCCCUCUCUCUCUCUCCCUAUACCUCUUUCCUUUAAUGCGACUAGACUAGACUCAUCGUCGGCAGAGGACUCUGGCUGGCUCCAAUAUAUGCCCCCACAAGCCGCUUUUGUUCCUUACACAUUUGUAUGUUGUCCACCUAUCAUUGGCCCAAAAAACUGGAGUAGUACCACAGCACGGACUAGGUCCAUUGCAUAUGGUCUAAAUAUUUUUGAGGGAUCUCAUCUUGUGUUUUCAGUCCAGAUAUUUGUGGGAAUGUUGCUGAUUUGGUCUUAUUGCCUAAUUUAUAUGUCUGGUUUAUACCUGUAAGGUUUACCUUAUUUUUUACGCUUUCCAGGUAUUACUAUAAAAUGUCACCCAUGAAUAAUGGGAAAUUAUUAUUGCCAGAGCAAUGAAAAGUAGAAACAACUUAUUGUAGCCAUGAUGGUUUGGACAGUUUUUGGAGACGGACCGAGAGCACCGUGGUACCCAUAGAUUCCGGCGACCGAUAUAUUUGAAUAAGCUAUUUCUAGUCCCCAACCGUUAGAAAACAUUUCGUGGAAUAAAUCAAAGGAGUGUCUAUAUUUUGCACGGGCAACCGAUUUUUUUUCUUGUUCCAAUCAUGACCGAUCGAAAAUGUAACAUGUUUCCAGACAACUAAAACCAAAUUGGCACAUCUAUUUUACGAAACCAAGACCGAAUGGAUCGACAAGCGGGUGCAUGUAAACGCGACACGGAAGCAAAAGCCACAUAGGAUCGUGUCAUUCUCCAUUGGUACGCGUAGCAGGCCGGUCCCCCAAAGCCUACACUACACACACCCUCCUUCUCUCUAGGGAGGAACUAGGAGAAAGAGACCCGGUGGUAGUGUUGGGUUGGAUGGACGUCGACGUGGACAGCUCUGUCUGAAAACCGCUGAUCAUCUUAAUUAGACUCUCCAGGACAUAUAUAAUCUCUUCCACUUUACACAAUAUCUUCACUAAAAAAAUUAGAAUAACAAAGAACAACGACCGAUUGCUGGUAAUCAACGUCCCCAUCAUCAUCAGAGUCCUUAAAAGAAAAUUAAGACGAGGCAUGCGAUGCAAAUUAAAUGUGGAAUCCAUCCCAGGCUAGUUCCCCAACUAACAUCACCAAGAAUCUCUUUCUCGCCCGAUAUAUCGCCACAGGUACCCUGAUACCUGUCGCGAGACGAGAUAUCGUUGGCCGUUGCGAUAUGGGGAACGAUGGGUGGCCUCGCAUCACUUCAGCCAGCUCCAUCGCUGUCUGAAUUUCUCUCUCUGUAGACAUGCAGCAUGAACAGACAGCAGGGCUGGGACUAUAUAAUUUGAUAUUGAUAGAAACGAUAACAAUAAUGAUACUAACAAUAUUGGGAAUAUGUCGCUGGCUGAAAGGGAUUGAUGGAUGGAUGGACGCAUAAACUCCUUUCUUUCUUUCUGACCUUUUCUUGUGGAUGGCUACUCCUGCCUAUAUUUCCUCCUCCGCCAUACACAUGCAAAAGUCUAGCCUCAGAUUUUUCCUUAUAUGCAGUAAUUUCUCCGUUCCAAAAUAAAUGAUUUGAAUUUGUAUCUGUACAAUCAUCUAUACAAAUUCAAGUCACUUAUUUUGGGACGGAGAAAGCACUCACCUAAGCUAAGAUCACCGAAAAAAUUCACAAACCUAAAUUUAUGUAGUGACUUAAUUGGCUGGGAUAAUAAUCGUCGCCGGUUUUCCUAGUUUUCGAAUUACCGGCAAUUUGCGUACAGAAAAUACUUGGAUAAAAGACCCUGAAGAAUAUUUCGUACGUAAACUUUAUGAACAGGCAGCUCCAUGUAUAUCCACAGAUGUAUUUGAUGGGGGUGAGUUGUCUGCAAGCAGAGGAUUGUUGGGUUUGGGACAGCGACGUAUCUGGCCCUCCCGCUUUGGAAAAGCCAUCAAAUGGAGCUUUCAAGGAACAAGGAGGAAACUAAUAAAGGAUUAGCUAUUCCUUUGUAGCCUUGUCGGUCCAGGGGCAGGCCCUCUCUCUCUAUAUAUAUUCCAUUCGAGCUGGAGUGUUAAAGCUAGACUGGAUAGAAAAGGCUUUCUCAUUUGCUUCCCAGAUUGUUUUAGUUUGGACAGUGACUAUCGUACACACAUGUAUAAUGCAGAAUUAUCAGCUUUGCAGGCAAUUUUUAUUCUUAUUUUUUAAAAUGAAUCCAAGUUUGGAUAACCAGGUAAUUCUCCAGACUCCUCCACAGGAGUACAUGUCAACCUUUUCUAGUCAUAUUCAAAGAUACAGCCAUCAAGAAGUCUCAACUCAUACUUUUCUUACCACUUUUUAAGAGGAAAGCUAGAAUAGAACGUUUGGAAAAAGGUCCCAUACUAGGCCAAGCCCAUAUGCUUUACAGCGCUAGGCUUAGAUUGGGCCAAUUUGCGUCCCAUGACUGGUUUAACUUAGGCCCAUCUGCCUCCCAGGUAAGCACAAUGCUAACAAGAAACUGGGCAAACAGGCGAUUCAGGACACUGAAGUGUCACAUUGACUAGACUAAAUAAGAGCACAGGUACCAUCACAUCAUUAUAAUGCCGAAGCUAUAGUAUCAGUUCUACGCUACAUAGUCAUUCUUUAAGAGGACAGCAAGAUAACGUAACAAGAGAAGAGGUUCAUACUGACGACAUGCAACUUGCUUGGACACAAAAUUCAGGCGCAAUCUCGUGAACAAUCGUCCGAUUCGUUCCACCCGAGCUUCUCUGGUAAUAGCCAUGUCUGGUGUCGCCACCAUGGUCUAGGUCACUAGCUCACUCGCACUUGAUGGAGCGGUAAAUGUGCCGCACAAAUAGCAGUGACGCACGGAAACCAACUGUGCCCAGCAUCAGGAAGAAACCGUAGCAGACACAGGUCAUGUAGCCGAAGAAGAAGGACGUUUGCAUGAAGCCUGACAUGUCUGACCGGGCAUGGUAGUAGUAGAUGCAGUAGAAGAAGAUGAAUAUGCCAGUGGAGCCUCCACAAAGGACAGAUCUGCAAAUAGAAGGAAAAACUUUCAUUCCACAGGCACAAACAAAAAACAUGUGAUGCAAGGAAGCAUUAGGUCUGAGUAAUAGAAUCCGAGAAUAUGGAACAUGGUUUCCUAAUAUGUAAUGUGUUUUCUCCUGAAGUGCCUCUCAAGUUCUGUUGUUUGUAGUAAGUGUUUUAUGUAUAACUAGAAGCAUUACUAUAGAUAACUUUCAAACACAAACAGUGGAUCUAUGCUCAUUGCUCAUUAUAGCAUAGUACUGAAUACUGAUCUAGCAUGCCAUGUACCAAAUAGUUGCUGAACUGCAUGUUUUUCUACAGUUUAAAUUUUGGUUUGGAUCUGUGGUCAUGAGCAAACAUAACAGAGAAGUAACCAAGUAAAUAUGACAAGAAACAAAAACAUUAACAUAUGAGGAUAAAAGCAUCAAGAUGAAUAAAUGUCCUGAACACUGACCUCCACCACCACUUGUGAUCCUCAACAGCAAGCUGGAAGUAUGUGAGGGCCACUGUGACAAACGCAGUGACGAUGAUGAGGAUAAUGAAGACAAUGAAGAGGAUGCUGUAGAUGGUGUAUAUCUUAUGCCCCCAGAUGCUGGCAAAUAUGUAGUACAGCUCAAUGUAAAUAGCACUGAAAGGGAGGAACCCUGCCAUUGCCAUCUGAGGAAUGGUGCUUCGGUACCAGGGCAGCUCAGGGAUUUCCCUAGGAUACUUGGUUGUGCGGCAGGGAGCUUGGAACUCUGUAUUGCUAUUUUUCCCAGCUAUACCACCUAGCACUAGCAGGGGAGAGGUUACAAGUGCCCAAAUGAGAAUAAUGACAAUGAUAGUACCGAAAGGCAAAGCUGCUGUGGCACUAUAUGCUAUUGCAACGGUGUUUAGGAAGGAGAAUGUCAAGAAAAGCGGGCCACAGAACAAGCAGCCAGUCAAUAUCAGAUUCCUCACCUGAAACAUAAAGGCAGAACAUGUCAAACACAGCACCAAAGACUUGAAGAAACCAACCAAUAAUGGAUGCCUUACCCAGUUUGUUCCUUCCAGCUGAAGAUAGAAGGAAGUGGCUGUGUAUCCAGCAAUACCAGAUGUAAGAGCGUAGAUGACAACAAGGGCAGUAAAAAGGGCUCCUCUGUUGUAUGGAUAGAAGACGCCAACAAUUGCAAGGAGAAAGAUGAAAAUUGCACUAUCGAACAAGAAGAAUUUGUUACUUGUUAGAUCAUUACAACAUAGUUUAGAUCAUAGAUUAAACAGACCCAGUAAGUUCUUACAGGGCAAGAAGCUGAGAACCAGAUCCAAUAAUCGCUGCAAAAAGAGAUUUUUGCUGCGGAAAACGGAAGACGUCACCAUGUAUAUACUUCCAUCCAGUCUCUUCCUGGUCUUCAAGGGACUCAUCUUCAUGGGAAUAUCUUCAACAAAAGUGAGGCAUUAAGAAUGAUGUUAGUAAAGCUGUACAAUCCAUGCAACAACAAUGGAAUGUAUUGAUUAAGGUCUUACUUGAUGAAAUCGUUCUUGAGCACACGCAUCAGGAUUGUUGCCAGAAAGCCAGUCAGGAGAAGUACAGUUACACAUGAGUUGAUGAUGGAAAACCAAUGGAUCUCUAGGUGUUGCGGCAUAGAGGAAGACUUGGAGUAUUUUUCCAUUCUUUUCUCAAAAGGAAUAUCCGUCUUUUUCCAUGCUACUGAAUAAGAGAAUUCUACUGGUACUUCCUUGUCCUCUGUGAUAUCUACAGCCACAUUCGGGUCUGUUUGGACAUUAAUUUCUACGACACGGUCAUUGUUGUACAUGAUGUCAAAGUGGAUGUGCUUAAAAAGAAGGUACUUUCCAGCCCCUUGCUCCUUAUCCUUCUCCAGUUUACCAAGGAAUCCCCAUAAUGGCAGGUCAUCAUAGUACAUCUGGAAGUAGUAAUCCUUUGCAACUGCAUCCCGGAGCUUGGCAACUUCCUCCUUGGACAAUGUUUUCUUGCAGAGAGUCUUGGAGUUCUUAUCUUCCUUAAAGUUCAACUCGUAUGGUGCAUCAACCAACCGAUCACCGUUUAGAACCUCCCCGAGAGCCUCCUUUUUGUCCUUCGGGUGUUCUAUUACAGGCCCAGCAGCAGUUAAUAAGAAAGAGAAAUGACUUGGGCAUAAACCAACAAAGAGAUUGCUAAAUAAAGCAAGUAACAUAAAGGCAUGCGGCAUUAGAAGAAAGCUCACAAACCUGGUGCACAAAAGGGUAGAUCAUAGUAGCGGUAUGUCUCACUGCAACACACAAAGAGUAACUCAAUUAUUGAUCUAAAGAAAAGUAAAUCAAUUUUAACAAGUGCCGAUUAAGUAACAGAACAUGGUUGCAGUCCUAUUGUAGAAUUGUUUUUUGAUGUACUUGAAUUGUGACUCGAAAAAAAAAGAGGUACUUGAAUUUUGAAAUACUGAAAUUACCGUACAGUUCAUGUGGCGUUUUUGUCAGGCCAGCAGAGAGCUACUUUGGGUAUGAUAGAGCUAUCCAUACUAUUUACUACUCCCUCCGAUCCAUAAUAAGUGUCACGUUGUACUAUAUCAGCGACACUUAUUAUGGAUCGGAGGUAGUAUCGUGCAAGUGAAUUACAGAACUUAUGUACCAACUACUCUAGCUCCCUCUCCUGGCACUGACAAACCCCGCACUUGCAGACUUUGGCAACUCAUAGCUACAAGUAACACCCACCGCCAGAAAUGCUUAGAAUCAAUUUAGCAGUAACACCAUUCCAACUUAACCACAGUUACCGGCAAAAACACCAAACCAAGUCCUAAGUCCUAACUCAUCCAUCUCUACCCAGACAAUGUACUCUUCACACAGUGCAAGGGCGAGACAACCGACAUGAACUACAAAUCGCAAGAGUAAAGACAACAGACAAACGUCGAUCCCUGGUUGCCGAGCACCGCAGCAGAAUUAUACCUUGGGUUGUGGAAAGGGCCGACCUUGUUGGCGUAGAGCGGGACACGAUCUCCCUCCUUGUACCGGUGGUCGGAGCCGUCGGCAGCAGCCCCCAGCAGCACACAGGCCAGAACCGCCACCGCAAGAGCAGCAAUCGCUCUCGCCAUCUCUUCCUCAGCCAGCACCUACCACGACCCCGAGUUCCAAAGGGCGGCGGAUCUAAGAUGACGCGCCCCGAAAUUCCGAGGAGGUCAGUUCGGGUUUAAGAAAUCAGUGGAGGAGGAUGAGUAAAACGAGCUCGUACCUCAAGGAGACCCAGCCAAAGGCCCGAGAUUGCGGACGGACGGGGCGGCGGAGAGACGGCAGGGGGGCCGCGAUCUCGCGACGAGGCAGGACGGGGGACGGUGAGGAGGCACCGGCGGUGACACUAGGAAGAGUUGCGGCGUCGGCUGGUGGCGGCGGAGCGGCGAAGGGGCUAAAGGGGAGAAUUUAGAGCCGCAUUGGGGGAGAGGGAUCGGAGCUCGGGUAGGUCAAACCAUGAGAGGGAGGAGAGUCGGAAGGUGCGUGCGAGAGAAUGCGAGAUGGCGGAGAGGAAAAAACGCCGUGGAGGAGAUGACGUUUUUGACUAGGGAUCGGAGAAUUGACGAGUACAGUACAGAUUUGGUAACAUAUAAAACGAGAAAUAAAAAUAAAUACUGUAUAUAAACUUGCUCGACAAAAUAAUAGUACUUUCUCCGUCCCAAAAUAAGUGAGUCACCACAUUUUAUUAGCUUAGUCCGAGUGAAAUAUUGACUUGCAAGUACUCCAUCCGUCACAUAUUAAAUGUCACGACUCUGUCUAAAUAUGCAUGUAGUGUCUAGAUACAUGUGUAUUUAGAAAAAGUUGCGACACUUAAUAUGAGACAGAAAAAGUACUAUUAUUUAAGCAUUAAAGACUAUUGUUACUUAAGUUGACAAUUAAUCUAAUACUAGCAGUGUUAUCUCUUAUGUAAAUUUUUGGCGAUUAAAUUGAUAACACGUGGUUUUUUUUUAUCGGGAUUACACGUGGUUAUUGUGACACAAAAGUGGUAGCACUGGUUUGUAUAAGAAAUAUUUUUUCAAUGGUAUAAUAGAGCAUAUAUUUUUUCUGUGCCUAUUUGUUGGUCAAAGUUCAGCAUAAGUUCAUUCCAGAGUAUUUUGCAACAAAGUAUUACACAAAUUAGGUAUUCCAUCGAGAUGACUUUUGUUUUGCAGGACGGCAUUCAAAUUCCAUCUUAUCGGACGGUACAUCAUUUAAGCUAUUCAAGAGGUUGUUUCCGGUGCCAGGAAUUAUUACCGUAUUUAAUUGUGCUGGCACGAACGUUCUUUAGUUGUGUGUGUCAUUGUAACCGAAUUAGGCUUGAACAUCAAGGUGAAAACAAAAGAUCUCAAUAAAAGUGCACAUAUGACUACUUUCUUUGUUACUAAAUAUAAGACGUCUUAGUUUUGUCCUAAGUCAAACUUCUUCAAGUUUGACCAUGUUCUUUAGUUGUGUGUGUCAUCGUAACCGAAUUAGGCUUGAACACCAGGGUGAAAACAAAAUAUCUCAAUAAAAGUGCACAUAUAACUACUUCCUUUGUUACUAAAUAUAAGAAGUCUUAGUUUUGUCCUAAGUCAAACUUCUUCAAGUUUGACCAUGUUUAUAGUAAAAUCUACUAAGAUUUAGAAUAUCAAAUAAAUACUAUGAAAAUAUAUAUCAUGGUAGAUUUGAUAAAACUAUUUCAGAGUUGUAGAUGUUGCUAGAUUUAUUUUCUAUAAACCUGAUCAAAUUUGAAAAGGUUUGAGUUAGACAAAGUUUGGAUUUUUACUUUUAGGAGUAGUAAACAAAGUGCACCAAGAGACGCUUCUCUCCCUACGUACCAUCCAGUGCACACCACACCCAUAUAGCGAGAAAGUGUAGGUGGAGAUUCAGAGUCAGCGAUGUGGUUAUUUGAGUCUUUGAGGAGAAGCUCUGAAAGAUUUAGUAGCUCAGAGGUCAUAAAAGGACAAAUAAUGGAAAUAUGUAUAGGUGUAUUUUUCCAUUAACUUACUUUUAUCAUGGAGUUUGGCAGGUUUGCAUCCAAAUUGUAGCUGACCGUUUGACACGAUGGGAAAGUUUACCUACUCCCUCCGUCCAACAAAAGAUGUCUCAAGUUUGUCAAAAUUUGAAUGUUACACAUGACUUAGUGUAUAGAUGCAUUCAAAUUUAGUCAAAAUCAAUACAUCUUUUGUUAGACAGAGGAAGUAAAACAAUUUUGUGUCGUUAGAAAAACACACAAGUGCAGUGAAGUCGAAGCCUAGAUAGAUUACAAAAUAGUCAAAUUGCAUAUCAGGGUCAAUCAAUCUGCUUACCGCUUGAUCUAGACAUUCAAAAUCAGAAAAAGUCAAACAAGACGUGCAAUAUACAAUUAGAGAUGUCAGUACGGCGUGUAUGCCAUCAUUGCCAUGCAUGCGUGUAAACAAAUUCAAGUACUCUUCCCUAGAACCGAUUCGAGAUAAUACAUACUACUCCUGUACGUUUGCAUGCUAGUAGUAGUAAGCAUGUAGAAACAUGCAUAUCAAGUACUGGUAGUGCUGCAUGCUAAGUAAAUGUUGCCAUUGUCAUAUACCACUGCAUCCUACGGAGUACUAUUUUCGCCAUCAUGGCUUGGGUUCAAUAAUCCUCACAGCCGUGUUAAUGAAUUGCACGACGUAACUUAAGAUACGACACAAAAGAGAUAUUGUCACAUUUAUAUUGGAAAACUCUAUCUAAUGGUAUAAUUUUUAUAUACAUAUCUUCAAUGUAUUUUUUAUAAAAGUUUGGCACAAAACCCAACAGAGACCUUAUAAAUCCCAACAGAGAUAGUAUUUCUGUUCCGAAUUAAAUGACAUUUUCGAAACUAAUUUAAUUAUUCAAAACUUCAUUUAAUUCGAUGCAUGUGGAUCCCACAUAUCUGCAAGAGUGACCUUUCUAGGCCAACCUUCAAUUCUUCAAGCCAAAUUUCGAACAAAUUGUUUGAACCAGAUAGCUGAAAGCGGGACAUAACCGACGUCCUGCGCUUGCAUCCCUAGAUAUGUUAAUUCUGAUAGUGAAAACAGAAAACAGAAGCAAGGACUAACUAAAUGGAUUGAGAUUGAGCUAGCCAUGUCCCGCGAUUCAUGGAGGAACACGUGCCUUUGCACCUCCAAAACAAAACUACGAAAGUGUGUUAUCAAAAGGCUAAUUGGAGUGUCAGCCACGACAAAGUGGGCAAAAAAAAAAGGAGAGACAUAUGAGAGCGACCAUGCAAAGAGAUUGCACCGCUGGUAAUAUUAGCCAUCUGUUGGACGCACUGGCAAACAAGCAAGCAAGCAACGUGCAGAGAUCCUAGUCGUGCCAGCCUCAACCAAAGAAGAGCUUAGCGAGCUAGCAUCCAUGAUCUGUUCCUCUCCUUUGCUACCGUCACUCCUCAUCUCCUACACAUGGAUGACAUGUUACUUUUGCUUGCCUUUUCUUCUUUCAGCCCCUACCAGCUCCACACAGAAUGUGCCAGGUGGGUUAAUUAGUUUUGACCUUUGACUAUUGAAAGCUAAGGUUAAGCUCCACAAACCCAACACUCUCGCCGUUUUGAAACAUGGUCGGAUUAAUUUACGUAAUACAAGCAUAUAUUAUAUUUCUAUGUUGUUAACGAUUGCGAAAAAGUAGAAGCUCUGUGUCAUCGUCCAUCGGGUCAGCUAGCGAUCAUUCCAUCGUUCAACAUGACCGAUCGAUCAUUAGCAAGGAAUUACAUCGAUCUCUGUUUCUCUAAAAGACAUGUUGAAUUAGCAUUGCAUCUUUACUGAUGUGUUUCACAAAAGAUGGCUAAGACUGUUUGUUCCUCCUCCCCGGUUGCUCAAGAAAGUCAGAGCAGGAGGAACAAAUGUCCUAAACCAUCCCACGUGAGGUCCUUGUCUAUUCCAAAUCUCCCUCUAAGACCAUUUCAAAGCAACACUUAUUAAGAUUUCGCAAAAGGGAGAAAAUAAAUAAAUUCCAUUAAUGUUUUGUUCGAUUUCAUAAAUGACAAAUCUCAUCAAGGUCUUACUAUCAAUGUUCCAUCCCUGUUUCAAAAAAAAAAUGUGGUCUCAAUCCCAUCACGACUCUCGAGUGCGACAUGGAUUGCGAUCCACAGAGUUGUUUUUAGCAGCAUUUCCACAUCAAAUAAAGAUAGACAAAGAAAGAAGGAUAAAGAUAAUACCUGCGAGCCAGGUGGAUCACGCGGCCCCACAUGUCGGCCCCACGUGACACGCCGGCCUGCCUGAUGGCGCGUAGUAGUAGCUAUUUUCUGCAAAAGCAAAAGCGUGGAUUUUGGGCGGAGGGAUCGUCCGUCGUCCCCAAUAAUGCCGUGACAAGCAGCCAACGAACGCCUCUUUCCGAGAUCUCAUCCCCCACCUUGUCUCUUUCCCCUUCCUCCCCAGCGAAUCACAAUCGCCCCUUCUUGACCCCUUCCAAUUCCGAUCCCGUUUCGCGACAAGCCACCGCUUUCUUGGCUGGUUCUUCCGGAUUGGAGACAAAAAAGCCGCCGCCGCUGCUGCUCCUGCCAUUGCUGCUGCUUCCUGGCGUGAUUGGGACUAAAAGAGGCAACCAGGGCUCGAUUCGAGGCAAGCUUGUUUUCGGAUCCAGGGCGGGAAGGGACUGGAUUGGCGGUGUGUUGUCGGUCUUGUUGUUGUUGUUGUUGUUGUUGUUGCUGUUCUUGGCAUGAGCGUAGGGGAAGAUGGGGCUGGACUACUACAACGUGCUCAAGGUGAACCGGGGCGCCACGGAGGACGACCUCAAGAAGUCGUACCGGCGGCUGGCCAUGAAGUGGCACCCCGACAAGAACCCCGGCGACAACAAGGGAGAGGCCGAGGCCAAGUUCAAGAAGAUCUCCGAGGCCUACGAGGUAUAUAUCAUAUGGGCACUGUAUAAUUAAUUUGUUGCAGCUAAACCUGAAUGAUUUACAAUGCUAAUCCUUCUUGGAAAUGCGCCGUGCGAAAUAAAUUUAGCAGCAAAUGAUAGCAUCUGUUUCGUCGUGCGAUUCAGAAAAUGUUUCUGAUGAUGCAAAAUCGGAGGGAAUCCUCUUUUUUUCUUUUUGCAAUCAUGUCGUUUAUUGCACAUUGCGUUUCAGGUUAUGUCAACCUGGAUUUUUGCAGGCACACAAAAAAUGUUGUGCCUGCUUUCAAGGUUCAUAUGUAUAUGUUUAGACAGUUCAAGAAAUCUGUGAUUAGUUCUUUUGUUCUGAAGAAUGCUGCUCAAAUUGCUGAAUUUUGUGACCAAUGUCUAUUGCCUUUCAGGUUCUGAGUGAUCCUCAGAAGAGAGCGAUAUAUGAUCAGUACGGGGAGGAGGGCCUGAAGGCAUCUGCAGACAACGGUGGCUCGUCAUCGUCAUCGAUGAAUGGCACCGCUAACCACCGUUUUAAUCCCCGGAAUGCCGAGGAUGUGUUCGCUGAGUUCUUCGGUAGCAGCAAGCCUUUUGAGGGGAUGGGGCGUGCCAAGUCGAUGAGAUUCCAGACAGAAGGCGCUGGCACCUUUGGUGGGUUCGGUGGUGGUAAUGACAGCAAAUACAGAUCAUACAAUGAUUCCGCUGGCACCAGCUCUAGCCAGCCCCGGAAGCCACCAGCUGUGGAGACGAAGCUGUCCUGCACGCUUCAAGAGCUAUACUCUGGUUCAACGCGCAAGAUGAAGAUAUCUAGGAACGUGGUGAAGCCUAAUGGGUAAUCCCACUGUUUCCUGUGAAAUUCCUGCAAGAUUUCAAUGAAUCCCUGCUUUCCAAACUGGAAGUACAUUGAGAUGUCAAGAACAUGACGAUUGAUGCAUUGCCAUUUCGUUUCUGUCCCAAAAUGCAUUUUACUUACCUGCUGAUUUUUUAACAGGCAACUGGGGACUGAAUCCGAGAUUCUGACGAUCGAUAUAAAGCCCGGGUGGAAGAAAGGGACCAAGAUCACAUUCCCAGACAAGGGCAAUGAGCAGCCAAACCAGCUCCCUGCAGAUCUCAUCUUCGUCAUCGAUGAGAAACCCCAUGAUCAGUACACAAGGGAAGGCAACGACCUCCUGGUCUAUCAGAAGAUUGACCUGGUGGAUGCAUUGGCAGGAACCACGGUUAACCUGAAGACCCUUGACGGGCGUGAUCUGGUGAUAAAGCUGACAGACGUGGUGACACCAGGGUAUGAGCUUGCAAUCGCAAAGGAGGGGAUGCCUAUCGUCAAAGAGAACGGGAGGAGAGGAAAUCUGAGGAUCAGGUUCGACGUUGAUUUCCCAAAGAGGUUGUCAUCGGAGCAGCGGCAGAAUAUUAGGAAGGUUCUUGGAGGGCAACCUUAGCAGCAAUGAUCAAACCCCGGAUGCAAAUUCAGCUACCCUCUAGUUCUCCACGAAAUGCAGACUAAUUCAGAUGUUCUUCUUUUUCAGUUGGCUUGUAUGUCUAGUUACUUUUGGUUUGCAGGAAUUUCCUGAUUUGCUCCUUUGUUGACAAGAUAGCAAUAUUAAUUGUUGACUAGAUACAGAUUACAGUGUGACAUUGAAUUUUUUUUUUCACCUCUUCUAUUGCAUGUUUCAACAUUCAUUUGCAAAUAUAACAGAUUUCGAUCUCUUGCCUUUUGUGAAUUGUCAUGCUCUUUGAAGUAAAAAUAUUCUGAGUAAUGCCGAGCGCUCAAAUUUGAAAACAUUGCCAAAUUUGUUUUUGAUCAGUAGGAUGGCGGUUUAGUUCAUCAUCUUCCAACAAAUCUCUCCUAUUUCAAAUUCGACUUCAACCGAUAAAUAUGAAUCAAAUCACACCAGCAAAUCCAUACCCUUGAUAACCCAUACAAUUCAAAAGAAAAGUGUCAUGCCACGGUGGGGGAACUUUGGGUUAGACGGACCAACUUUUACAUAGAUUUAGGCUAAUUUGGAGAGACAAAUAGGCUAAGUACUUCAACAAAUGUUUUAAGGUGAAGGAGCAUCAAAUCUCUACUUAUAAGCAUUAACAUUGCGCAACUCAAAAAAAUACGUAUUGCAAUUAGAGACAAGUGGAUCCAGACAUGUUUCUGAAAUUUGGUUUGAACAUAAAUUUGAAACCUAUCAAACAUUUCUCACCCAGCACAGACCUUACCCACCUAUUCGUAAAUAGCAACGGCCUCGCUUGAAAAACGGGCCCCACCCUCUUCCUCCCUACAAAAAAAACGACACUUUUCGCGGUUCCCUUUCCAAGCCGUAAUUUUUUUCGCGCGCCCGCCGAAACCACCGCGUCCGGGAGCCGUCGGAUCGCGAAACGGACGGUGUUCGAUCGAUGAAGCAGGCGGAGGAGAACUCGGCGGCGGCCGCCGGCGCCGCCCAGGAGCCGCCAACGCCGACGCCGACGGUGUGGUACGACCCGAUGUCCCCGACGUCGUCUCCGACGGCGCCACGGCCGCCCGUCAGGGUUUACGCCGACGGCAUCUACGAUCUCUUCCACUUCGGCCAUGCCCGCGCGCUCGAGCAGGCCAAGAAAUCGUGAGCCCCGUUGGACCCUCUUCUCAAUCACGAUUUCCUUUCUUGUUUCUUUCUCUGAAAGCAUUGACAACAUUGUUUCUGAAUUUCUGACACCAAUUUCUGAAUCUCUGGCAUGGAUUUGUUGUCUUCGUCAGAUUCCCCAACACGUACUUGCUGGUGGGCUGCUGCAGCGACGAGGUGACCAACUGGUACAAAGGCAAGACCGUCAUGACCGAGGAGGAGCGCUACGAAUCGCUUCGCCAUUGCAAGCAAGCAACCUUCUGUUUUCUACUUUACCUCCUCCGUUUCUGAAUUUUACCUUUUGUUCUUAUUACUGUCCCAUUUCUGAAUCUUGUUGAAGAUGGGUGGACGAGGUCAUACCCGAUGCUCCAUGGGUCAUCGACGAGGAGUUCCUCGACAAGCACCGCAUCGACUACGUUGCUCACGACGCUCUCCCGUGAGUGUGUACAUACUAUAUUUAUGCAGCAUUGCAUAUUUCAAAUCAAUCUAUGUAUCUAAUAUAGAUGACAGGUGUUCGAGAAACAAAAAUCUAUGACUCUGUGUUUUGUUGAUCAGUUUGUGAAAAGUGUAAUUGACUCACUUCAUGUGAUUUGUUUUCAGGUAUGCAGACGCAAGUGGAGCUGCCAACGAUGUCUAUGAUUUUGUUAGAAUUGAAUAUCUGAAUCCCCUCCUCAUUUUUUUUUUGGACUAAGCAAUGCUGAUGGUCAGCUAACUGGAAAAUGUGUUGUUUGGGCAGGUCAAGUCCAUUGGCAAGUUCAAGGAGACGAAGCGCACCGAUGGCAUCUCAACAUCGGACAUCAUCAUGAGGAUUUUGAAGGAUUACAACCAGUACAUCAUGCGGAAUCUGACCCGGGGGUACUCCCGCAAAGACCUUGGUGUGAGCUAUGUCAAGGUGAUCAUCAGUUCCAGCAGUAACAUCUCCCAAAGCAAAGGAAGGACACCAAGCACUAAUGAAUUACGUGUUUUCUAUUACUGUAAUGUGAUCAGGAGAAGCAAUUGAGAGUGAACAUGGGGAUUAGCAAGCUAAAAGAGAAGGUGAAGGAGCAUCAAGAGAAGGUGAUCCAAGUUACUCUACAAACCCCAAAAAAAUUCGGCAUAGAUCUUCACAUGAUUUUGCAAAUGAUAGUGAUAGUAACUUGGUAACGCAUAUGCAGAUUCAUAGUGCAGCAAAGAUUGCUGGAAGCAAUCCUGUGGAAUGGAUGGAGAAUGCCGACCGUUGUAUCGUUGGGUUUCUUGAAAAGUUUGAGGAAGGUUGCCACAUGAUGGUAAGCAAGUCUUUGAUUAAUUUAAUUUAUCCGCAGUUGUCAAUACAGUAUUUGGUGAUUAUGGAUCGUGUUAUUUAUUUGACAGGAAACUGCAAUUAAAGAUCGAAUUCAGGAGGGGCUGAAGAGGAGAUCCAAAUCAGAGUCGGAGCUGAACCUUUCUGGAUCGGACUCGGACUCAUAAAGAUGUUUGUGGGAAUCAGAUUCCUGCAGUAAAUGUAUAGUAUUAGAUUAGCAUGUUGUUAUAGCCUUGUAAGACAUCAAACUGCAACGGUGGUUUAUAAUAGGAGGUUAUGUACCAUUGAGAACAAUAAUUUUUUGCGGUGACCGAUCAGUCUCUGUUUCUUAAAGAUUGCUCAUUUGCAUUUUGCCUCCUAAAUGACAUUAUUCCUCUGAGAAACUUGGAUUUGCAGUACAUGAUCUCAUUCUUGUGAUUAUGUUUGUCAAUGGCCAUGUGUUAUUUUUAUUUAUUUCUUUUCGAGGAACCGGCAGGAUAGAAGUUAUUUACAGUGCUGCCUUUUCAUUAAGAAUGAUAGAAGUUAUUUACAGUGAGGAGCAGGUUUUUUGAGGGGAAAUGCCGAGGAAACCCCAACGAGAACAAGAAAAAACUAGUCGGGCUGUAGCACUGUGUGAUGUCCUCGAAGCUCGCAGGCAAGAUGAGUGACUUCGACCUAAUUGAGAAGCUUAAGAGUGAAAAUGCGACAGUUCGCUCCUUCCUGGCUUUCCACCAGACGUAGAUAAGUCAACCACUUUGCUUCCUCUUAAUGUCCUUGCCAGAAAGGAAAAGGGAGGCGUCCCACCACUCCUCUGAUUGCUUCUCCUGAAUAAGAUCAUGUGUAAUUUUAUUGGCCAUGUGCUAUUGCCACCAACUAAAUAUCAUUCAUAUACUUCUCCCUUUUCUUUCAGCUACCAUGAUAUAGUUUUCAGGGUAGUAUUGGUUAUACACUUAUACAUGAAGAUGCAAUUGGUAGCGGUUCGUCAGAUUUAGAUAAGCUGGAGCUAGCCUAUUUGCAGAACCCAAUGUUACAAUAAUGUAUUUUUAGCAACCAAGAACUAAAUUUAACACAUGCACAUGGAGAAUUCUGUUGAUUCAGAAACACCUAACGAAAAUAAUAUUUGUUAUCCUGAGUCAUACUCCUAGUAUACCAUCAAAACAAUUUCCCCUCUACAUACGAAUACUAGAAACGGAAGCUAGCUAUUUUCUAAUCUUGCCACCAACAAUUCGGUCCUGAUACUACAGUAUCACAUAAAACUUUGAUCAUCAUACAACACAACUCAAGAAAUUAAGCAGAAACAGUUCAUUGUCAUUCACCCUGGACUUCCUGUUUUACAUAAUGAUUUGAUUAUUUGGGAAACUGUUGUCUUCAAUGAUUUCACUGUCUCAUUGUCAGUUCUUCACCUAUGCCCUCUGAAAUACAUGUAUACUCCCUGCAAAACAGUAGAUUUGGAAGGAUGUCAUGAAACCACAGAAACUGUAGGAUGUCAUGUAUGUUCACUAAUUGCGCAUGUAAUAAUAUGGUAAAGGCACAACAAAAGCUGAUCAUUUCUGGUAGUCGAGGAGCCAUACUAGAAAGCAAGGAAACAACAAAAGUUUCUAGGCAUAUUCUUUUUUAGUUCCUCUCAAAAAAAUUGUUUUUCUUUGUUGAGCUUGCAACCAAGUGAACUUAUAAGAGUGAUAGUACAAACAAAGAGAAGAUGUUCCAUGAAAACAACAAUGUGAAAGAAAUGAAAGGUGGAACCGACAAUAACCUCAAGAACCCAAAUACUCAUAAGCGAUUCCGCAGUAAAUAAUAUGAAUCCAAUUAGAUACAGUACCUGCAUUACUCCAAAAAGGACACAAUUAAGGACUCACGGCAAGUUUUAGUGCUGAAGUAAAAUAUGUUCAAAGUUAACCAUAAUAGCGCAGAAGAACUAACCCCGACGAACAUAUCUCCGCUUAAAACAUCGAUAGCAACAAGAAUUCCCCUGAUUUCAGGUAAAGAACUGUAUCGAACUAUUGCAGUUGGAAACUUUGGCAAAAUGAAAAAUGCUUGACUUACGUAAGAGUUUUUCCCAUGAAUAUUAUUGGAGGAGCAAUUGCAGCAAUGACACAAAAUCCAACAUGCACCUGGCACAUAUCAAGCCAUCACUAUGCUCACCAGUGCAUUACCAUAGGAUCAAACAUAAAGAUAGAAAAAUGCAAUAGGGUUAUCUUUUUAGUUGAAGGUUAUUAGCAUGUGGAACUCAGCUCGGUGUAUAAAUAGAAGUACCGAGUAGAAGAUGAAAAACUGGCCAAAGGUCACCACGCUAUCGGUUCUGGUGUACAAAGGUAAGAUAAUUUUGUUACCAUAUUGGCAUUCUCAUAGAGCAUUUCCAGAUAAUGGUAAUUUACUUGGAAUUUUAAUUGAAAAGAAACCUCAUGGCCUGGUACAGAGGCCUGUACCAUAGUAUGUAUGAAAGAGGACAUCCAAAUAUUGCAUAGAUGACGGCAAGGAGAAAAAGAACAAUAUCUGCCAUAAAAAGGAGACAUGAUGUAAAAUAUGCAUGCUUAAGAAAAUGGUUUAUCUGGCAAGAUAUUUAGCACCUUCCAUGUGAAUUGAUUCGACUAAAACUGCAAAGACAUUCCAACUGAGACAGACAACAAUUCCUGCAAGAAGAGCAGCCGAUGAACAGGAGCUGAACUGAUGAUACUUCGUUCUUAUCUAUGUUGAAAACUAUCAGCAAUAAUCUCAAUUAAUAGGAGAAAACUGAUGUAAGGGUAAAAACCUAGCCAACUAGCAAAUGCUGAGUACUGCAACUUUUGAGCAUGGAUGGGUAUUUCAUUGGCUAUAUCAUGAUGUAUGAUGGGGAAGAACGGUGGCCAAUUUUUCACUUCGACCAUGACACCGGCUGCACAACCAGAUGUAUAUUUCAGAAUUCAGACAAAACGUGAAAGCAUGAUGGAUUUAUCUUAUGAUGCUCUCUUAGGACUACCUCUGUUCAUUGUAUUCUCCCUUUGUAUGAUAUCCUGCAACAAAAGUCACACUUCUGAUUCUGAAAACUCUUUGAGGACUCACUUUCAUAAAUUUGUUGACUAGAAAGACAAUAAUUAUUGGACAUAUGAAGCAACCCAAAUGAACAUAUGACACUCUAAGAUUACGAAAUAAUUGUGGAAGUGAAUCUAUAGGAUUUCUAAUUAAGUGAAAAGGAGAACGGACCCGCUCUCUCCUCUUCAAAUCCUCCUCCCACGAUAAGAGCUCUUUCUCCCGCUUCCUCGGAUCCUACAUGAAUUAGGAUUAUCAUUAGGUGUACCAAGAACACAAUAUUAUCUUGUGUAUGAACAAUGUAUACAUAUAGUGGGAUGUCGAUGGUGGCGCCAUGGUUAAUGCUGCCUCCAAAGCCCGCCGGGAUCCAGGAUUUCUUCGAUGGAGCUGGUGCCAAUGCCUGUCCAUUAUGAAAUACAAACGAUAUGUCCCAAGAAAAUAACAAUCAACUGUCAUCAUGAUUCUUCACAAAAAAUGACACUGAAAUAACACCCCGCUUAAACUCAGGCUGCAUACUGAACUACAUGAGAGUUGGAUUGUUCUAUUAGUAUGCAUAGAAAAUGAUCAGAUCAGAUAAGUCCAAUGGAAAAUCAAGAUAUAAAAGUUGAAUAAUUUGAUCUAAUCUCAAUAAAUCUAUCCAAAGAAACCUCGCAAGCAGACCAGAAUGCAAAACGAUUCAGAGCAUUUUGUUCUUCUAAGAAAUUCAAUCCAGACAGUCUCGAUACAGAGAUCAUCAGAACGCAUGGGUCUUUUUUUUAACCAAAGUUAAUCUGGACAUGAGAAACAAUGCUCCAAAGAGAAAUGUCUCAUCAAAAGACAAAUAAUUUGAACCCCAAAUAAGAAGAAGAAACAUGUAAAGUCUGGAAUACCGCUGUAGGAUUGACAUUUUCGUCUUCAAACGGAUUUGUGUUACGAGACAUCAUUAGGAAGAUCCCUCGGCAUGAAUAAAUCCCUGUGUUGUCUACCUUUGGGAUGAGCCGAAAUCUGUGCUGCAAUAAAUCUGUGCAUGGCCAACGAAAGGAAGUUAGUUAUUUUCAGUUAAUGCUGGCCGUCUAGCGCUUUGGUCCUUAUUGGUUGUUACAUUCCAAUACCAUCAGCCCCUCGUUUUAUUACGUUUUACCUUUUUUAUCCCUUCUUCCUCUCAUUUUGGAAAGUGUAGGAAUUCUUACAGAACUGUUGAUUCGUAAUCUCACAGAAUUCACGAAAAAUCCUGGGUUGUUAGUUUUGUCUUUUAAGCAGUUUAGUACAUGCACGUUAUAGACUGUAAGAAAUCAGAACAGAAAGAAACACAGUAGGCCUGCGAAGUGGAAUUUGAUGGAGCUGAAGAGACAGAAUCAAUUUCAUGCCCCGUUAAACAUAACAACUGCAUCCAGUAUCCACAUUGCAGUGAGCUCGAUACAGAAAAUGCAUUGAUUCAGAAAUGAGACAAAUGCCGUCUAUAGAAGAUCAAUCUGAAGUUAACGCGGCGUUAUUAUGCCAUACACAGUAGGAGGAAUUUUCACAGAUAACACUUUGCUAUCAAGCGUAAUACACAAUACACUGGCAGACAUUGUAAACCAAAUAAGGAGGCAACAAAUCCAAAUUUCUGCAGUAUCUUCUCUAUUUAGUGAUGGUGGUCUUGAACAUAGCGAAGACCACAGUAUUUGCACACAGCAGGGGCCUCCAGAUCAAGGCAGAUAUACUCGAUUGGAUGGCCAAGGGCAGGGUUACUAUCUGUAUAUAUAAUCCAAAUGGAAACAGUCAGCCUUGCAGAAAAUGAAUGCCCAUGACUCCAUGGGUGAGUAUAUUAAUAUAUGUAGCAAGCGAAAAAGGGACCGAAGCACGGUAAUGAGAAUUUGUAAAAAAAAAAAAAAAAAAGCAGGCUAGAGUUUGCUUUCGCCUACCCCCUUCACAAGCGACAAUUCGCCCUUCAACCUUGAUCGGCGGCACCUCAUUGAUCAGUUCCAUCGGAGAUUUCUUGCUUGUGUCCUGCGAUAAAUAAAAUCAGAGAGGAUCAAAAAUUAUAAACACUCCUUUCAAAAGAAAAAUUAUAAACACUGGCAAUAUAAUGAGUGACAAAAAAUAUCACUGUCUUCAACCAAUAAAGCUCACAAAUUAGGUAGUUGUGCAACUUAAGUUGUGAAUAUCACACGACAAACUCAUGCCAACUACCUGGUAUAUUGGUAUAAGUACAAAUUCUGCUAUCUUUGAGGAUAUGGGAAUCCCAAAGCUAAGAAUUGACUUUCAGGCAUCACUUUUUGACAGCGCAAGGAAUAUUGGUCUUUACUCAGUUCAACAAUUGACCUCUCAUAUAUUAUUGCUGCAGUAGCCACUUGCUAUAGUAGUUCCCAGAAAAGCCUCAAAAUGAUACACGUCGUUUAAGUUUUACUCAGUGAAUAGGCGAAAACCAAAAUCGAUACUGUCCAAGUAUGGUAGGAUGGUGUUGGACUACUGGGCUGCUGGCUGUGACAUUAUUGUAACAGAAAUACAAUUGGAAGAUUAUUCAGAUACAUCAUAAGCUCUUGCAUACAUUCUUAUCUGUAACCUAUGACAUGAAAUGAGGAGAAAACGGUUUCACUUGAUCAACAAGGUCGAUAUAACAAAUUGUUAGAAGGGAGGUCCAGCCAUAAGUCGGUAAAACAUCUGUAACCUAUGACAUGAAGAAAUGAAGUAAUACAAAAAGGAAAAGAAAGAGAAAACAAAAAUCAUGAUCAACUAAGCCCUCUCGAGGGCUUGCUUAAGAAUAAGAAAGAAGAAUCUUAUGGAAAUGGAAUAAGGUUUGAUCCUAUUCAUGGGGAUUCCGUAAAUAUGCCAUUCCAAAAAUAGAAACAAUCGGGACUUUUCGGAGAUUGGAUGCAGUUACUAAUUCAUGAUCUGGCAUGUACAGAAUGAAAACUUCAUUCUCGAUUCUACGAGAAUUUUUAUGAAAGCGCUUCAUUUGCUUCUCUUCCAUGGAAGUUUCAUUUUCCCAGAAUGUAUCCUAAUUUUUGGCCUAAUUCUUCUUCUGAUGAUCGAUUCAACCUCUGAUCAAAAAGAUAGACCUUGGUUCUAUUUCAUCUCUUCAACAAGUUUAGUAAUAAGCAUAACGGCCCUAUUGUUCCGAUGGAGAGAAGAACCUAUAAUUAGCUUUUCGGGAAAUUUCCAAACGAACAAUUUCAACGAAAUCUUUCAAUUUCUCAUUUUAUUAUGUUCAACUUUAUGUAUUCCUCUAUCCGUAGAGUACAUUGAAUGUACAGAAAUGGCUAUAACAGAGUUUCUGUUAUUCGUAUGUAUAUUUAAAACAAUCUACUAAUGGUCUGCUGACUGCCAAGCUUCAGCAAAGAUAUAGAAACAAACUUAAAAGACACACAAUGCAUCAAGAUAUAAUGUGUCAAAAAAACAACAGAAUGAGUGCAUGUUACGGGACAUGCAAGGAUUACACAUCUCAUCAAGGAUAAUCGAAGAAACUACAAACCAGCUGUGCCUUCCUUCACUG